rnacentral:rRNA from 1 species
UACAGAGGUCUCAAGCGUUGUUCGGAUUCAUUGGGCGUAAAGGGUGUGUAGGUGGCGCCGUAAGUCGGGUGUGAAAUUUCGGAGCUUAACUCCGAAAUUGCAUUCGAUACUGCGGUGCUUGAGGACUGGAGAGGAGACUGGAAUUCACGGUGUAGCAGUGAAAUGCGUAGAUAUGCGGAGGAACACCGAUGGCGAAGGCAAUCCCCUGGGCCUGCACUGACGCUCAUGCACGAAAGCGUGGGGAGCAAACAGG